CAGCACCUCAAGUGGUCAGGAGGAUUAUUGGGGCCUAAAGCAUCCGUAGCCGGCUGCAUAAGUCUUCGGGUUAAAUUCAUAUGCUCAACAUAUGGGCUGCCGGAGAUACUGUGUAGCUAGGGAGUGGGAGAGGUGGACGGUACUCGAUAGGAAGGGGUAAAAUCCUUUGAUCUAUUGAUGACCACCUGUGGCGAAGGCGGUCCACUAGAACACGUCCGACGGUGAGGGAUGAAAGCUGGGGGAGCAAACCGGAUUAGAUACCCGGGUAGUCCCAGCUGUAAACAAUGCAAACUCAGUGAUGCAUUGGCUUGUGGCCAGUGCAGUGCCGCAGGGAAGCCGUUAAGUUUGCCGCCCGGGAAGUACGUACGCAAGUAUG
rnacentral:rRNA from 1 species